rnacentral:rRNA from 1 species
UUUUGCCUAUGGGACGCAGCAGUGAGGAAUAUUGGUCAAUGGCCGGAAGGCUGAACCAGCCAAGCCGCGUGAAGGACGAAGGUGCCAAGCAUUGUAAACUUCUUUUGUCAAGGGACAAAAUCAGGCUCGGGAGCCUGACCGAGGGUACCUGAAGAAAAAGCAUCGGCUAACUCCGUGCCAGCAGCCGCGGUAAUACGGAGGAUGCGAGCGUUAUCCGGAUUUAUUGGGUUUAAAGGGUGCGUAGGCGGACUGUUAAGUCAGCGGUAAAAGCCCGGGGCUCAACCCCGGCGAGCCGUUGAAACUGG